AGAGAACAAACUACCAAUUAACGAGCGAGGAAACAGGGCCAGAGAAUUGGAACAAAAUACAAGGCUGCCUCUGAAAGGAAUAUCUUUGUGCUGAUGUGUCCAUCAAGAGAACAUACACAGAAGUGACACUUGCCAGUAAUUUGCAAGCAGAUGGAACUUCAAUAUGGCAAUAGAGAAAGAAUCAAUUAGACCAGAGUCUCCUCAGGAAGACUUUCUAUAGGUGGACGGUCCCCUGGAGAGCCCGCUGUGUUGGAAGAUGUAGAAUAUUCAUAUAUCUGGUGAGCAUCUGCUAGAUGCCAGGGUUGGGGAGAGUCAAGUUGAAGCAAGCAUGAACCCUCAAGGACCUACCAUUUCAAGGCAAGAAAUAGAUACAAAUACAGCGUAAUUAUCUCUCCAAUUAAAGAGCAACCAAGGGACAACUGAACUGGAGGUUCUGCAGAAUUACAACUAAGCACGCAGCCGAGGAAUCUACUCAGCUUUGAUCUCUUAUCGCUCUGCACACACAGCCCUUUCUCUGUAAGGCUAGCUGCUCUCAGCAUCACUGUGUCUAAUCAAACGUGUCACACCUCCACUGAGAAAAUAUUUACUGGAUAGCUACUAGACAUAAGGAUGCAGAAAUGAAUUAGAAAAAUUCCUCGCCCUUGUUCAAAGCUAUGCUGGCUCUUAGAACAUCUGAGCCCCCACUGUUUCAUCUUUAGAGGAUCCCAGCUGCUGGGGUGUGAGGCCAGUGCUGGAGCCAGCAGUCUCUGACCCAGAAGGGACCUGAGGUGCUAAAGAAAAGGGUACAAGCUGGAAAAGGGGAAAAUGAAUCAUGCUACAGGCCAAGUGUCCAUCACUGAUUCCCAGAGAUGCCCUUUGUGUGGUAGGCACUUCCAUGUGGACUCGCUACAGAGUUUGGAGUUCCUGAACAACAUGGACAGUGUUAAUUUGGAUUCCAUGCUUCAUGGCACAGAAUUGGAGCACUAACUACUCAGUGAUGACUUUCUCUUCCUCUAGCUAAGGUGAUCAACAAGUUUCCUUGUUCUUUCUCCAAGUAGUAGAAGAAAGUAAAGGUCAUAAGACCCUAAUUCCAGAGGGCCCUACCCUAUAACCAGAAGGAAGAACUAUUGCACAGAGAAUCUAAGAAGAAUCUAGACAGACAGCCCUUGCUGGAUUUCUCCACUCUGUUAGCAUUCGAUCAUUUGCCUUUUGUCCAGUCAUAUUUCUGCAUGGCUGUCCAUACUUUGUUGAACCUAAGCACAAAAUGGAAAGUUUUCCCUGUAUCUUUGGGUCGUCAU
rnacentral:lncRNA from 1 species